rnacentral:rRNA from 1 species
ACUUUUUCUAGGAAUAAUCCAAAAUUUAUUUUUAUUAAAUUUUUACGUUUCACAUCCAUUUUUAAAAAUUUAUGAAAUUAAUUUUUCUAAUUUUUGUAACUCAUAUAAUCCUUUUUAUUAUCUUCACAUUGAUCUGAAUUAAAAAUAUUUUAUUUUUUGAGAAAAAAAAAUAAAUUUUUAUCUAACAACCGUACAAAAAAAUAAAAAAGGUAAAAUUAAAAGUGGGUUAUCUUUUUAAUUAUACAAGUUCCUGUGAAUAUAUAGAAAACCGCCAAAAAAAUUAAGUUUUGUUAUUAUAAUUUACUACUUUAAUACAACUAAAAA